GGGGGCCAGGGCUUCAAGGGGGCAGCCAUUUUUUAAAAUAGGAACAGCCAUCGGAGGAGCAAUUUCUUCAAUAAUUACGGCGGCAGUGUGUGGAAAGCGCGGGAGGGGUCUGGCAACCUCUGGUUUCACAUUACGUGUGAAUGCAGCCUAUAUGUGACUAUCUCUGGUGAAGAUAGAAGGCAGGAGGACUGAGAGUUACCUCAGAAGGAGCAGCCUAGGAGAGCAGGAAGCUCCAAAGUGGCAGCUGACUGGGACUGCUAGAUGGUGAGAGGGAGAAGAAGCUCCUAGAUCAAGAAAGGCUGUGCUUAAUCCUAACCAAGACCCAGAAGGAACAGCUAGAGGAAGAGUGUGGAAGGCCCUCAAGAAAUGCAAACCUUCAGCUGUGUCCUGUGAGGGGAGUGUCAUAUUGUGAAUGACCUCUAGGGGCAUUAUUCCAUAGACUUUGUUUAUUGUUAAUUUUGUCCUGUUGGGACUUUCUUAGUUUGUUCAGAAGUGUACUACCUUACCAUGACUCAACCAAAAACUGUGUUCUACCCAGGUUUGGGAGCUGUGUGUACUCCCAAUUUUUGAUUGUGUGAAAGCAAGGUAGGAGGAAAAUCUGGGUAGCUUUUCCUCCUACCUUGCUUCCACACAAUCACUUCUACCCAGAUUUUCCUUCUACCUUGCUUCCACACAAUUGAAAAUUGGGAGCACACUCACUCCCAAACCCGGGAAGAACACAGUUUUUGAUUGUGUGAAUAACCUCCGUGUCUUUUGCGUUGGGUGCUUGGAGAAUAAAGCUUGUUCUGUGGAA